GAUGAACGCUAGCGGCAGGCCUAACACAUGCAAGUCGAGGGGGAAGUAGAGUGAUAGCAAUAUUACGGGGGAGAGACCGGCGCACGGAUGCGUAACACGUAUGCAACCUACCCUAGAGGGGGGAAUAACUUCGAGAAAUCGGCGCUAAGACCCCAUAACACUGCGGAGAGGCAUCUCUUUGCAGUUAAAGCUCCGGCGGUAUAAGAUGGGCAUGCGUCCAAUUAGCUAGUUGGUGAGGUAACGGCUCACCAAGGCUACGAUUGGUAGGGGUUCUGAGAGGAUGCUCCCCCACACUGGUACUGAGACACGGACCAGACUCCUACGGGAGGCAGCAGUGAGGAAUAUUGCGCAAUGGACGAAAGUCUGACGCAGCCAUGCCGCGUGCAGGAUGACGGCCCUAUGGGUUGUAAACUGCUUUUGUACGGGAAUAAACCCUUCUACGUGUAGGAGGCUGAAGGUACCGUAAGAAUAAGCACCGGCUAACUACGUGCCAGCCGCCGCCGUAA
rnacentral:rRNA from 1 species